rnacentral:rRNA from 1 species
UGAGGAAUAUUGGUCAAUGGGCGUGAGCCUCAACCAGCCAAGUAGCGUGCAGGAAGACGGCCCUAUGGGUUGUAAACUGCUUUAUGCGGGGAUAAAGGAGUCCACGUGUGGAUUUUUGCAGGUACCGCAUGAAUAAGGACCGGCUAAUUCCGUGCCAGCAGCCGCGGUAAUACGGAAGGUCCGGGCGUUAUCCGGAUUUAUUGGGUUUAAAGGGAGCGUAGGCCGCGUUUUAAGCGUGUUGUGAAAUGUAGACGCCCAACGUCUGCAUCGCAGCGCGAACUGGGACGCUUGAGUACGCGCAACGUUGGCGGAAUUCGUCGUGUAGCGGUGAAAUGCUUAGAUAUGACGAGGAACUCCGAUUGCGAAGGCAGCUGACGGGAGCGGCACUGACGCUUAAGCUCGAAGGUGCGGGUAUCAAACAGG